UGGGGAAUAUUGCACAAUGGGCGCAAGCCUGAUGCAGCCAUGCCGCGUGUGUGAAGAAGGUCUCCGGGUUGUAAAGCACUUUCAGCGGGGAGGAAGGCGAUAAGGUUAAUAACCUCAUCGAUUGACGUUACCCGCAGAAGAAGCACCGGCUAACUCCGUGCCAGCAGCCGCGGUAAUACGGAGGGUGCAAGCGUUAAUCGGAAUUACUGGGCGUAAAGCGCACGCAGGCGGUCUGUCAAGUCGGAUGUGAAAUCCCCGGGCUCAACCUGGGAACUGCAUUCGAAACUGGCAGGCUAGAGUCUUGUAGAGGGGGGUAGAAUUCCAGGUGUAGCGGUGAAAUGCGUAGAGAUCUGGAGGAAUACCGGUGGCGAAGGCGGCCCCCUGGACAAAGACUGACGCUCAAGUGCGAAAGCGUGGGGAGCAAACAGG
rnacentral:rRNA from 1 species